UCGAAUGGGCGGCGUGCUAAUACAUGCAAGUCGAACGCUUCUUUUUCCACCGGAGCUUGCUCCACCGGAAAAAGAGGAGUGGCGAACGGGUGAGUAACACGUGGGUAACCUGCCCAUCAGAAGGGGAUAACACUUGGAAACAGGUGCUAAUACCGUAUAACAAUCGAAACCGCAUGGUUUUGAUUUGAAAGGCGCUUUCGGGUGUCGCUGAUGGAUGGACCCGCGGUGCAUUAGCUAGUUGGUGAGGUAACGGCUCACCAAGGCCACGAUGCAUAGCCGACCUGAGAGGGUGAUCGGCCACAUUGGGACUGAGACACGGCCCAAACUCCUACGGGAGGCAGCAGUAGGGAAUCUUCGGCAAUGGACGAAAGUCUGACCGAGCAACGCCGCGUGAGUGAAGAAGGUUUUCGGAUCGUAAAACUCUGUUGUUAGAGAAGAACAAGGAUGAGAGUAACUGUUCAUCCCUUGACGGUAUCUAACCAGAAAGCCACGGCUAACUACGUGCCAGCAGCCGCGGUAAUACGUAGGUGGCAAGCGUUGUCCGGAUUUAUUGGGCGUAAAGCGAGCGCAGGCGGUUUCUUAAGUCUGAUGUGAAAGCCCCCGGCUCAACCGGGGAGGGUCAUUGGAAACUGGGAGACUUGAGUGCAGAAGAGGAGAGUGGAAUUCCAUGUGUAGCGGUGAAAUGCGUAGAUAUAUGGAGGAACACCAGUGGCGAAGGCGGCUCUCUGGUCUGUAACUGACGCUGAGGCUCGAAAGCGUGGGGAGCAAACAGGAUUAGAUACCCUGGUAGUCCACGCCGUAAACGAUGAGUGCUAAGUGUUGGAGGGUUUCCGCCCUUCAGUGCUGCAGCUAACGCAUUAAGCACUCCGCCUGGGGAGUACGACCGCAAGGUUGAAACUCAAAGGAAUUGACGGGGGCCCGCACAAGCGGUGGAGCAUGUGGUUUAAUUCGAAGCAACGCGAAGAACCUUACCAGGUCUUGACAUCCUUUGACCACUCUAGAGAUAGAGCUUCCCCUUCGGGGGCAAAGUGACAGGUG
rnacentral:rRNA from 1 species